rnacentral:rRNA from 1 species
UACGGAGGAUCCAAGCGUUAUCCGGAUUUAUUGGGCUUAAAGGGUGCGUAGGCGGCCUAUUAAGUCAGGGGUGAAAGACGGUAGCUUAACUAUCGCAGUGCCUUUGAUACUGAUAGGCUUGAAUGUACUUGAGGUAGGCGGAAUGUGACAAGUGGCGGUGAAAUGCAUAGAUAUGUCACAGAACGCCAAUUGCGAAGGCAGCUUACUAAAGUAUGAUUGACGCUGAGGCACGAAAGCGUGGGGAUCAAACAGG